rnacentral:rRNA from 1 species
GAUGAACGCUAGCGGCAGGCUUAACACAUGCAAGUCGAGGGGUAACAGGGUGCUUGCACCGCUGACGACCGGCGCACGGGUGCGUAACGCGUAUAGAACCUACCUUUUACAGGAGAAUACCCCAGAGAAAUUUGGAAUAAUGCUCCAUAGUAUUAUUGAAUGGCAUCAUUUGAUAAUUAAACAUUUAUGGGUAAAAGAUGGCUAUGCGUUCUAUUAGCUAGAUGGUAAGGUAACGGCUUACCAUGGCAACGAUAGAUAGGGGUCCUGAGAGGGAGAUCCCCCACACUGGUACUGAGACACGGACCAGACUCCUACGGGAGGCAGCAGUGAGGAAUAUUGGACAAUGGAGGCAACUCUGAUCCAGCCAUGCCGCGUGCAGGAAGACGGUCCUAUGGAUUGUAAACUGCUUUUAUACAGGAAGAAACACUCCCUCGUGAGGGAGCUUGACGGUACUGUAUGAAUAAGCACCGGCUAACUCCGUGCCAGCAGCCGCGGUAAUACGGAGGGUGCAAGCGUUAUCCGGAAUCAUUGGGUUUAAAGGGUCCGUAGGCGGGCUAAUAAGUCAGGGGUGAAAUCCAACAGCUUAACUGUUGAAUUGCCUUUGAUACUGUUAGUCUUGAGUUAUAUGGAAGUAGAUAGAAUGUGUAGUGUAGCGGUGAAAUGCUUAGAGAUUACACAGAAUACCGAUUGCGAAGGCA